UACGAAGGGUGCAAACGUUGCUCGGAAUUAUUGGGCGUAAAGCGCACGUAGGCGGCAUUGCAAGUCGGAUGUGAAAUCCCUCGGCUUAACCAAGGAAGUGCAUCCGAAACUGCAGUGCUUGAGUACUUAAGAGGAUCGCGGAAUUCCGGGUGUAGUGGUGGAAUGCGUAGAGAUCCGGAGGAACACCAGCGGCGAAGGCGGCAUCCUGGACUGGUCCUGACACUCAGGAGCGAAAGCGUGGGGAGCGAUCCGG
rnacentral:rRNA from 1 species